GGUGGAUCUAGCAUUUUUCGUUUUCUGGUCCACUGGGUCCAGGCGUCCAGCUGGUGUAUUAUUAAUUUUCCCUUUUGCCUCAUCUUCAUGCCGCUUUGACCGAGCAGAGCCGAACAAAAAAUCCCACCGCUCCGCCCAUUGCUAAAGUUCUUGCCGCGUCUCAGGCUCCGCCGCUAUUACCCGCCUCCAAGCCCCAUCGCCACCUUGGAUUCCUUGGCCUAGGCUCCCUUCCUUCAAUCUUCACGGCUCACCGCGGGGAACUCCGGCCCGGGCCAUACACGGCGUAAAGCUCCCGAUCCUUGGCAAUAUGGGGAUGGGGGCCUGAAGUUCUCUGGGUGGCCGUGACCGCCGUGGGCGAUCAACAUGGCUGGUGCGGCAGCCGGCAGGGAGCUCCCAGAUGGAGCGGCGCCGGCCGCUGCCUAUGAAUUUCUCCUCUCUUCCUCCCCACCGACCGCUGCCCGUCACGCUCGACUGCCGGCCGAUCUAAGUCCUACGCAGGGGCAUCGGCGGUAGUGAGGAGCCCUGGGACUACCCGGUGAUCCGGAGACCGGCGGGGACGGCGCGCCAGCUUUGAGGAAGGGGACGGCGUGAAGGGAUGCGCCCCCGGACCUCUACUGAUUCCGCCGCCGAGGCGCGAACACCCUGGCAGUCGAUGUUGCGGCCGCGGCCUCACCCUGCACCAGUCCUCCAGCGUGUGCGCGUAUACGCAGACGACCCCAGCGGCGGCGACGGCGUGCACACGCGCCGGUUGCCGGCAGGGCGCGAGGCGAAGUCCCUCGGCACGAAGAUAGGUGGGCUCCCGACUAGACGGCCACCUGGAGGCAUUCAAUCGCUCAAAUCUAGCGCCCGAGAGAGGAGUUGGGGGAGAGGAUAAAAAGAGGUCGUUUCACAGCGUGGUCGACCGCUGCAGUGUCGAGCAACGAUGCCCGUGGAUGCCAUGGUCAAGCGCUACGGUGGACGAGUACAUGUACGCAAUGGUUGAGCGACGCUGAUGGGAAUUGAUUGGGGAUUUUGACUGCUGCUCUGCUCCCGUUUUCGCCAGAGGCUGGGUGUUGCUCUAGGAUCUGCCGGCUGGGUCGGGCGGAUUUUCCGUCCGCCAGCGCUGCCGCUGCUCGGAGUUGUUGCUGUGCUGGGAACUGAAGGGUGUGGUGCAGAGUUGUUGGUGGCCGCUGGCUUUGUUUGAUUCGUCCGUGGUUCUGCGGACGUUUUUAUGCUUCAGUGAGGUCUGCGUGGCUUCCGAUGAUAUGCCAGGUCGCCCCGUGCUGCAACGCCUCCGGGUUGUUAUCUAUAAUGUUUGCAGAGAGGGGCUGAUACAGUUGGUCGAGUAGUUCUCAAGCCGAGGGGAGAAACCUUGGAAGGCUCUAUACCAAGGAAUCUGGAGUUUAUAGUACACAUGUACUUCCUCAUAAACCAAUUGGUAAUUUCUUUUAUUUUCUGCUCAUUGGAUAAAACUCAUUGACCUACUGCAUAAUUUUCAUGUAACACUGCUGCGAGGUAUUUUUGUAAAAACGAACAUCAGAAAUAACAGGCAUAUUUACCUUUUCUAAUUCUUGCAGAUAACUGAACUAAUUUGUAAUUCAGUUCUUUAGCCUAUUGUUACAAGGAAUCAAUUUAUAGAUCGAACAAAUAAAUAUGAUAUUCAAACUCUCUAUUUGCUAGACGAACUGAACAUAAUAUGUUGCAUUUUCUGUUAGCCUGAAUAUUUCUAGCAAUAAAUGAUUUCUAAAAAUUGUAUGAUCUGUUAAAUAAAUUUCACUCCUAUCUAUACAAAAGCACCUGUAAUGUUAUAAAAUACGUAUACAUAGAGUGUUGGAAAAAGUACAAAUAGUGAUUGCUAUUUCAUAUUUAGGCGCCUGUAACAUUUUUAUCAUAAGAUGUGCCUCAUCUUAGUUCAACGCCUACUGCCCAGACCUUUGCUUUUGAUUGCAUUUUGCUUGAUGACCUGCGUUCACAAUGGGAUCGAAGUAUAGACAUUACCAUCUCUUUCGGGAUUUAUCUUCCUUUCACAGAUAUUGAUCCCCUCAAUUGGUCACCAUGUGUUUAAACAUAGAUGGUUUCCUGAUGCCAUAAGAAGAAUAGUCUGGCUUACCAUAGCCAAGUGAUGAGUCUCCUUUUGUAAUUAGAUCUGGGCUAUUUCUUUGGCGAGGAAUAAGAUUAUUUUAUUGCUCUAAAUGCAGAAGGUGAAUUUAGUUCACAUCCUAGGUUGUUGGUACGACAUCAUGUAUAUAUCUAUAGCAAUGAAUUAAGGGCAAUAUGUCUUUGUAUUUUUUCCAUCAGAAAUAGGUGUCUGUUAUGAUGAUAACAUAAAUCAAUUCCUAAGUCCUAGCUAUUCAUUCUCUAGGAAUUUGAGAAGGUUUCUGCAUAUUUGUGGUGAAAGCCAGGCUGCAAAAUUUCAUCCGGGACAUGAAAUAGCUCCCAUGGACAGCCUCUAAAAUAGAGGAGGGGAAGCAGAGCAAAUGUAGAACCAGGGUAGGCAAGAAAGAAGGAUAAAUUAGUAGAUCAUUAUCCCCAACUAAAUUUGGUCAUCCUCAAGCAACCUAGGUAAAUUUAUGUCAAAGGGCACAAAUAAUUGAUUCUCUGACUAAAAUCGACUCUUGCUUUUUUCCCGUGUCAUGAUUUUAAUUCAGAAAAGGGAAAUAUAAAAUUAGAAGGGGAAAGAAAAGAACCUUAGAUCUAUGCUAUAUGGUUGAAGUUAAGAGCCCAUUUAGCUACCAUUGUUCUCUACAUUAACAUUUUCCUUGCAUGUGUGUUGAAGGAUGAAGAGUUCAGAAAUGAAGUAGAACAUACUAUUUUGAGAACAGCCAGUAGGAAGUUGUAGCUUCAGCUAUAGUAGUGGGGGUGUACGAUGUGAGCUUAUUACAUGCUAAUUAACUAAUUUAUUUGCAUACUAAUCUCUGAAAUAUAAUAAGCAUGCUCUGAAAUUUAGAACUGAUGUGGCGCUCCUGUGUAGUGAAAUGCUUGCAUGUAUAGUUUUGGUUUUGAAACCAAACUGAACCCUGGGUUUUGUGGGUUCAGUCAUCCACGUGGACGUCGUUGUCGAUAAUGAAAACGACGACGUCUUCGCGGAGGCGGUCAACGGCCACGGUUUUGUCAUCCGCGGUGAUAGUGUCGUAAGUCGAGUCCUUUGUCCUGAACUGGACACGAAUGGGCGCCAGAGCUGCGGAUGGCCUAGAGUCGCUCUAGCUCGCCACCGCCUCGGUACCCCCGGUGUCCAAGCGAUGUCAGUGAAGGAUCAGCGUGUUGCUAGGUAGUAUUCUGUUAUGUAUAGCCAGAGGUCCACCAAAGAUACAUAAAAAGAUACAUAAGAUUGCACACUAGAAGGUAUAAUCAUACCUUCUAUAUUUCCUACUUACGCUAAUUAUUUCAGUUAAGAUUUUGACCAGAUAUAAAGUACCUGCCAGCAGCAUAGCUGCACAUGCUGAUGUAGAAUCAAAUUUGCAGAGCUUUCAUUGGCAUUGUAGAAGACGAUACAUUGUUCUUUGACUAUAUUGCAGGUUCAACGCUCAAAGUGACCAUCUUCAGGUACAAUGGAUGCGAGAAGAUCUAGGACCACUGUACUUACAGAUCAACGUGAAAUAGCCUUUUGUUCAUCGGUAUAGCUAUCCAUGCUAUCGCUUAUAUAUAAUAAUAGUUCUUCUAUGUUACUCUCUGAGAUUACCAAUUGAUCAUCCAUUGUAGAAUGAUGAUCAAUAUACAGUACCAAGUAUUAUUACUAGACUAAAUUAUUACUAGACUAAAUUUCUGUCUCUCUGAUGCCCGCUUAUUUGCUUGACCCUGAUGAUCUACCUUUUAUGCACAUAAUUUGAGUGUAUGUUGUAUCAGAUUUCGUUACCAACCAUGUUAAAGCCCAUUGUUUAAACAAGAAAAUAUUCAUUACUUCUAUCAAUUCAAGUUUGGUCUUAAAAUUAUUACAACUAUUGUAUUACAUAGUCGGCGCGGCGUGCCGCCGCGCCCAUCCAU